rnacentral:piRNA from 1 species
CGGGGAGAGAAAUCGACGAGGCU